AGGACGAACGCUGGCGGCGUGCUUAACACAUGCAAGUCGAGCGGUAAGGCCCUUUCGGGGGUACACGAGCGGCGAACGGGUGAGUAACACGUGGGUGACCUGCCCUUAGCUCUGGGAUAAGCCUGGGAAACUGGGUCUAAUACCGGAUAUGACCUCGCGAUGCAUGUCGUGGGGUGGAAAGCCUUGUGCGGCUAGGGAUGGGCCCGCGGCCUAUCAGCUUGUUGGUGGGGUGAUGGCCUACCAAGGCGACGACGGGUAGCCGGCCUGAGAGGGCGACCGGCCACACUGGGACUGAGACACGGCCCAGACUCCUACGGGAGGCAGCAGUGGGGAAUCUUGCGCAAUGGGCGAAAGCCUGACGCAGCGACGCCGCGUGAGGGAUGACGGCCUCGGGUUGUAACCGUCUUCAGCCCUGACGAAGCGAAGUGACGGUAGGGGCGAGAAGAAGCACCGGCCAACUACGCGCCAGCAGCCGC
rnacentral:rRNA from 1 species